ACAGUUUCACAACAGUAAUUCAACCUAGUACGAGAGGAACUGUUGAUUCUCACAAUUGGUCAUCGCGGUUGGUUGAAAAGCCAGUGGUGCGAAGCUACUGUGCGUUGGAUUAUGAUUGGAUGCCUCUAAGUCAAAAUCUAGGCUAGAAGCGAUGUGUGUGCCUGUCGUUUGUUUGCCGACCAGUAGUAGGAGGCUUUGCCCCCAGAGGCACGUGUCAUUGGUGAACCUCGUAAGGUGAAUAAGCCUUAUGAGACACCUUGAAGCACAAUUCCCAUCAAGCGACAGGUAGAAUCCUUUGUAGACGACUUAAAUACGCGACAGUGUAUUGUAAGUGGCAGAGUGCCUUGCUGCCAUGAUCCACUAAGAUUCAACCCUCGUCGUUUUGAUUA
rfam:Vigna angularis cultivar Jingnong 6 chromosome 4, whole genome shotgun sequence.